UAUAUCGAACACAUCAUGGACACUUUUGUAUCUCCAGAUCACCUCACUUGCAUGUUUUUGGACUGUGGGAGGAAACCGGAGCACCCAGAGGAAACCAACGCAGGCACGGGGAGAACAUGCAAACUCCACACAUAAAGGACCCGGACCGGACCGCCCCGCCUGGGGAUCGAACCCAGGACCUUCUGGCUAUGAGGUGACAGUGCUACCCAAACAAACCUAGACAGAUGGAUAAGAUUUAAAAGGCAACACUGACAUGAAGUACUGACAGUGUAGUAUCAGGACUCUAUGACCUCUGAGUCUAUAAAAACAUCCAACAAAAGAAAAAUAAAAGGUACUUAAUGAAAAGGUAACGAGGGUCUUCUGUCACCACUCGAGAUACUCAGCUGUUCGAACACAAAGGAGAAGUUCAUUCCACCACCUGGGUAUAAAACAGGUUUUCAUACCAAAACCACAAGCUACGCCUGAUUUUACUCAGUUAGUGAGAAGUUCUUGGUCUCAGACGUCUAAGGUGUAACUACAGAAGCCAAUCCAGCUUCCGCACUGGAGGAACAUCCUCACAGACAGCGAUCAGAAGACCCCAGAAUGAACCCAGACCCCAAGGUUCUAACUCCACAGUGCUGCACUAUUAACAAAUAUUAUGUUUUAUAAAUAAGUUAAUGAUUUUAAGAAUAAUUAUGAGCCACUUGUGCACGUUCUGUAUAGCUGCAUAAUACAGGAUAUGAAAUAAAGACUAUAACACCCUGACAGGGAGCCG